ACGUAGGGUGCAAGCGUUAUCCGGAAUUACUGGGUGUAAAGGGAGUGUAGGCUGGCAUUUGCGUCAGAGGUAAAAUCCCCAAGCUUAACUUGGGAUCUGCCUUUGAUACGGGAUGUCUUGAGUAUGAGAGAGGAUGAUGGAAUUCCUGGUGUAGCAGUGAAAUGCGUAGAUAUCAGGAGGAACACCGGUGGCGAAGGCGGUCAUCUGGCUCAUAACUGACGCUGAGGCUCGAAAGCGUGGGGAUCAAACAG
rnacentral:rRNA from 1 species